rnacentral:rRNA from 1 species
UACGUAGGGUGCGAGCGUUGUCCGGAAUUAUUGGGCGUAAAGGGCUCGUAGGCGGUCCAUCACGUCGGGAGUGAAAAGCUGGGGCUUAACCCCAGUCCUGCUUCCGAUACGGGUGGACUAGAGGUAGGCAGGGGAGAACGGAAUUCCUGGUGUAGCGGUGAAAUGCGCAGAUAUCAGGAGGAACACCGGUGGCGAAGGCGGAUCUCUGGGCCGAUACUGACGCUGAGGAGCGAAAGCGUGGGGAGCGAACAGG